CGGGAAGCUUAAUCUGAGUGUUUUCACCAUGACUCUGGCUCCACUACUCCUUGUCCUCCUUUAUUACUUAACAGGGUCAUGGGGCCAGUUUCAACUGACUCAGCCAAACUCUGUGUCAGGGCCUCUAGGAAGCACAGUCAGCCUCUCCUGCAAGCGCAGCAGUGGUAACAUUGGAAGCAAGUAUGUGCAGUGGUACCAGCAGCAUGAGGGAAGAUCCCCCACUACUGUGAUAUAUAAGGAUGAUCAGCGACCAUCCGGGAUUCCUGAUCGGUUCUCUGGCUCCAUUGACAGCUCCUCCAACUCAGCCUCUCUGACCAUCAGUAACGUGCAGGCUGAAGAUGAGGCUGUCUACUAUUGUCAAUCCUACGAUAGUGGCUAUAAACACCACAGUGAUGUGAACCACGGAGGAAGUGAGACAAAAACUCCCCAAAGCACCAGCUGUGAAAUCUCUUGUUAA